GUUUGAUCCUGGCUCAGAAUAAACGCUGGCGGCAUGCCUAACACAUGCAAGUCGAACGAGAAAGUUCCUUCGGGAGCGAGUAAAGUGGCAAACUGGUGAGUAAUGCAUGGGUAACCUGCCCUUACGUUCGGGAUAACACUUUGAAAAGGGUGCUAAUACCGGAUACGAUCACUGCUACUCUGGUAGCGGUGAUGAAAGGUGGCCUCUCCUUGGAAGCUACUGCGUAUUGAGGGGCCCAUGUCCCAUUAGCUAGUUGGUAGGGUAACAGCCUACCAAGGCUACGAUGGGUAGCCGGCCUGAGAGGGUGUACGGCCACACUGGGACUGAGAUACGGCCCAGACUCCUACGGGAGGCAGCAGUGAGGAAUAUUGCACAAUGGACGAAAGUCUGAUGCAGCCACCCCGCGUGUGGGAUGAAGUUCUUGCGAACGUAAACCACCGUUAGGGAAGACGAUAAUGACGGUAUUUCCAGCGAAAGCACCGGCUAACUCCGUGCCAGCAGCCGCGGUAAUACGGGGGGUGCAAGCGUUGUCCGGAAUCACUGGGCGUAAAGGGCGCGUAGGCGGGAUUGAAAGUCUGGGGUGAAAGUUCGAAGCUUAACUUCGAAUCUGCCUCAGAAACUUCAGUUCUUGAGUUCGGUAGAGGGGUGCGGAAUUCCUGGUGUAGCGGUGGAAUGCGUAGAUAUCAGGAAGAACACCGGUGGCGAAGGCGGCACCCUGGCCCGAUACUGACGCUGAGGCGCGAAAGCGUGGGGAGCGAACAGGAUUAGAUACCCUGGUAGUCCACGCCCUAAACGAUGAUCACUAGAUGCUGGAAGAUUCGACCCUUUCAGUGUCGUAGCUAACGCGUUAAGUGAUCCGCCUGGGGAGUACGGCCGCAAGGUUGAAACUCAAAGGAAUUGACGGGGGCCCGCACAAGCGGUGGAGCAUGUGGUUUAA
rnacentral:rRNA from 1 species